AUCCUUUUCCGGUUCAUGAGCAUGAUGAUUGUGUGUCCACAUGGCUGUGUGACAUGUGCCUCCCCCUCACCUCAGUAAUA
rnacentral:snoRNA from 1 species